rnacentral:rRNA from 1 species
UACGAGGGGUGCAAGCGUUGCUCGGAAUUAUUGGGCGUAAAGGGUAGGUAGGUGGUCUCAUUUGUCUGGGGUGAAAGCCUUGAGCUUAACUCAAGAAGUGCCCCGGAAACGGUGAGACUGGAGUCCUGGAGAGGGUCGUGGAAUUCCCGGUGUAGCGGUGAAAUGCGUAGAGAUCGGGAGGAACACCAGAGGCGAAGGCGGCGACCUGGACAGGCACUGACGCUGAGCUGCGAAAGCUAGGGGAGCAAACAGG